rnacentral:snoRNA from 1 species
UACCAAACCUUUUUGUCAGGGUGCUUCUUUGUCCGCUCUAGGAUAACCUUUUCUACAGAAGUGUCUGUUACUGUUUUGGAAGAGUAAUACUGUUCGCUUAUCCAUAUUUUCUCGUUCUGAGGAAGCCUGUUGGAUAAAUUAGAAGGAUAACCUUUGUUUUAAAGGUACACCUUCGUUUUUAGAGCAGUGAGGAUCUUAUGAGUUGAGCUUUUGUUAUCUUGAGAAAUAAAUUCUCAAGAUAUCCGUACAAUACGUUCGUAGUAAAGAUCCUCACAAUU